GACGGAGGAUGCAAGCGUUAUCCGGAAUUAUUGGGCGUAAGCGUCCGCAGGUGGCUGUUCAAGUCUGCUGUCAAAAGCGCAGAGCUUAACUCUGUACAGGCGGUGGAAAACCUGAAGAGCUAGAGUAUGGUAGGGGUAGAGGGGAAAUUCCCCGGUGUAGCGGUGAAAAUGCGUAGAUAUCGGGGAAGAACACCAGUGGCGAAAGCG
rnacentral:rRNA from 1 species